rnacentral:rRNA from 1 species
UAUUAAAUUAUUAAGUUAUGUUGUUUGUUAAUUUAAUUUUUUAUAAUAAAAAUUAUUAUUAAUUUUUUAUGUUUUAGUAUUAUAAAUAGAAUAAAUUUUUUUAUUUAUAUAAAUGUAAUGUAAAUGAAUUUAAUAAAAUAUCUAAAAGAAUAUUUGUUAUAUUACCUUUUGUAUCAGGGUUGAUUAAUUUAUAUUUAUAAAUUUUAAAAAUCUCGAAAAUAAAAGAGCUAAUUUUAUAUAAUUUUUUAUGUUUUAUAAUAAUUAUAAAUAUAAAAUUAGAGGUGAAAAGUCAUUCGGUUUUAUUGAUAUCUAGUUUUUUUAAAAAAUAAAUUUAAUUUAGAUAUUUAUUAAUAUUUAUUUUUAUAUAAAAUAAAUAUUGAUUUAUAUAAAUAAUUUAAGGGUAAUCUUUAAAUUAAUUUAUUAUUAAAAGUUUUUAAUAAUAAUAAAUAAAUAAUUUUUAUAUUAGAAAAUUUUAGUGAUAAUUUAAUAGUUUAUUUUUUUUCAAGUCUUAAAAAUUUUAGUUUUUAAUAUAAUUAAUAAAAAAAAUGAUUAUUUUAAUAAUUAUGAUUAUGAAAUAAUGAUUAUAUAAGUAAUAAAAUAAAUGUAUAUUAUAUUUAUAUUAUAAUAUAAAUAUAUUUAUUAGGAAUUCGGCAAAAUUUAUAUUCACCUGUUUAUCAAAAACAUGUCUUUUUGAUAAUAAUUUAAAGUCGGCUCUGCUCAAUGAUAUUGAAUUAAAUGGCUGCAGUAUUUUAACUGUACAAAGGUAGCAUAAUCAAUUGUCUUUUAAUUGAAGGCUGGAAUGAAUGAGUUGAUGAAAUAUAAACUGUCUUAUUUAUAUUAAAUGAAAUUGAAAUUUAAGUUAAAAUGCUUAAAUAUUAUUUAGGGACGAUAAGACCCUGUAGAAUUUUAUAUAUUAAUAUUAAUUAGAUUAAUAUUAUUUAAAAUAUUUUUUAUUAAUUUGAGUAUAUUUGAUUGGGAGGAUUAUUAAAUUUAUUAAACUUUAAUUUUAAAUUACAUUGAUUUAUGGAUAUAUAUAUAUAUAUAUAUAUAAUUGAUAUAUUUUUAAUUAUAAUAGAGUAAAUUACCUUAGGGAUAACAGCGUAAUAUUUUUAGAGAGAUCUUAUCAAUAAAAAUGAUUGCGACCUCGAUGUUGAAUUAAGAUAAAUUUUAAAUGUAGAAGUUUAAUAAUUAAGUCUGUUCGACUUUUAAGAUCUUACAUGAUUUGAGUUCAGAUCGACGUAAGUCAGAUCGGUUUCUAUCUUAAAUAACAAAAAUUAAUUUUGUACGAAAGGACUUGUUAAUUUAAAUUAAUUUUAUAAAUGAAUAAUUAAUAAUUU